rnacentral:rRNA from 1 species
CCGGCCUGAGAGGGCGACCGGCCACACUGGGACUGAGACACGGCCCAGACUCCUACGGGAGGCAGCAGUGGGGAAUAUUGCGCAAUGGGCGAAAGCCUGACGCAGCAACGCCGCGUGAGGGAUGACGGCCUUCGGGUUGUAAACCUCUUUCAGCAGGGACGAAGCGAAAGUGACUGUACCUGCAGAAGAAGCGCCGGCUAACUACGUGCCAGCAGCCGCGGUAAUACGUAGGGCGCAAGCGUUGUCCGGAUUUAUUGGGCGUAAAGAGUUCGUAGGCGGUCUGUCGCGUCGGAAGUGAAAACCCGGAGCUCAACUCCGGGCCUGCUUUCGAUACGGGCAAACUUGAGU